rnacentral:rRNA from 1 species
AGUUCACGUGGAGCCGUCCUUGAAAUACCACCCUGGUUUGUUUGAGGUUCUAACCUUGGCCCGUGAAUCCGGGUCGGGGACAGUGCAUGGUAGGCAGUUUGACUGGGGCGGUCUCCUCCCAAAGUGUAACGGAGGAGUUCGAAGGUACGCUUGGUACGGUCGGACAUCGUACCUAAAGUGCAAUGGCAAAAGCGUGCUUAACUGCGAGACCGACAAGUCGAGCAGGUGCGAAAGCAGGACAUAGUGAUCCGGUGGUUCUGAAUGGAAGGGCCAUCGCUCAACGGAUAAAAGGUACUCUGGGGAUAACAGGCUGAUACCGCCCAAGAGUUCAUAUCGACGGCGGUGUUUGGCACCUCGAUGUCGGCUCAUCUCAUCCUGGGGCUGUAGCCGGUCCCAAGGGUAUGGCUGUUCGCCAUUUAAAGAGGUACGUGAGCUGGGUUUAAAACGUCGUGAGACAGUUUGGUCCCUAUCUGCCGUGGGCGUUGGAAUCUUGACGGGGGCUGCUCCUAGUACGAGAGGACCGGAGUGGACGUACCGCUGGUGUACCUGUUGUCUCGCCAGAGGCAUCGCAGGGUAGCUAUGUACGGAAGAGAUAACCGCUGAAAGCAUCUAAGCGGGAAACUCGCCUGAAGAUGAGGAUUCCCUGGAGGCUUGACCUCCUUGAAGGGUCGUUCGAGACCAGGACGUUGAUAGGCUGGGUGUGGAAGCGCAGUAAUGCGUUAAGCUAACCAGUACUAAUUGCCCGUAAGGCUUGAUCCU